rnacentral:tRNA from 1 species
GGUCCCGUAGCUCAUCAGGAUAGAGCGUCUGAUUCCUAAUCAGAAGGUAACAAGUUCGAGUCUUGUCGGGAUCACCA